CCAGCUCCAAUAGCGUAUAUUAAAGUUGUUGCAGUUAAAAAGCUCGUAGUUGAACGUUGGGCGAGGCGCAUCGGGUGGGCCGCAAGGCCGGACUCGGUCGCUGGGCCUCUGAGGGGGACUCUCGGCCUUGGCGGAGAGGGAACCCGGGUUACUGUGAAGAAAUUAGAGUGUUUAAAGCAGGCUAGGGCUUGAAUACAUCAGCAUGGAAUAACAAGAGAGGACUAGUGUCCACUUGUUGGUUUGGGGACAAAAGUAAUGAUUAAUAGGGCCAGUUGGGGGCAUUAGUAUUCAGUAGUCAGAGGUGAAAUUCUUGGAUUUACUGAAGACUAACUAGUGCGAAAGCAUUUGCCAAGGAUGUUUUCAUUAAUCAAGAACGAAAGUUAGGGGAUCGAAGACGAUCAGAUACCGUCGUAGUCUUAACUAUAAACGAUGCCGACUAAGGAUCGGCAGAAGUCGAACACGACUCUGUCGGCACUUUGUGAGAAAUCAAAGUUUUUGGGUUCUGGGGGGAGUAUGGUCGCAAGGCUGAAACUUAAAGGAAUUGACGGAAGGGCACCACCAGGAGUGGAGCCUGCGGCUUAAUUCGACUCAAC
rnacentral:rRNA from 1 species